CCUAGCCUUGGAGUGGGGAAUAACAGUUGGAAACAACUGCUAAUACCGCAUGAUGCAGUUGGGUCGCAUGGCUCUGACUGCCAAAGAUUUAUCGCUCUGAGAUGGACUCGCGUCUGAUUAGCUAGUUGGUGAGGUAACGGCUCACCAAGGCGACGAUCAGUAGCCGGACUGAGAGGUUGGCCGGCCACAUUGGGACUGAGACACGGCCCAGACUCCUACGGGAGGCAGCAG
rnacentral:rRNA from 1 species